UUGGAUCCCGUUGCUUGAUUGGAAUUUGCAAACUUAUUUGUUUGAGAUGUACUCUGCAUCAUCUGCCUUCUGGAGCUGUCAAGAUUUUCCUGAGUAGUUAGUGGUUGAAUGACAAUUUGGCCUAUUCCAUCUGCAUGGAUGUGUUGAGGUAUGGGAACAUAAGCAUUUUUGCUAUUUCUUUGGCGUGGAUCGGUAUUUCCUUUGUUCACAGUCCUUGAUAUGACAUUUAAAUUGCCCAAUUGCAGGUUCUCGGUUGUUGGUUGGGCUGCAGGAGUGUACCUUUUGAGCAUUGCUAUAUAAUCAGCUGAAAUUUGCUGACUUUCCACCGCUGACAUUUGCUGGCUUUUCACCACCAGUUCAUUCUGUUGGUCAUUCUGCAUAGCGACUUUUGUUCCAGAGAUGAUGUUAAUGCGUGUACAUGGUUCUUUGGUUUGAGAAGUCAAAUUCAAAGUAAAAGUGGGCUCAUUAUCUUGUUGCAUCACCCCCUGCUGACUAGCUACGUCAUGCUGGCCGUCACCUGAUUUUUCCUCCCCAAAAUUUAAAACUCUCUUGCAUGAUUUUGCUGUGGCGCUAGCAAAGGAAGGAUCUAGUAUCUCCUUCCUAACAUCUGUAGGAUCUGUUACAGGGACUUUGGGAUUAUUCUUCCGAACAUACUUCCUUUUUCCAGUUGGAUUUUCUUUAGGAUUAGAAUUACUUGGAACUUUUGGCUUGGGAGUCUUCUUCGGUUUUCCUUCAAUUACAACUUUUGGCUUGGGAGUCUUCUUUGGUUUUCCUUCAAUUACAACUUUUGGCCUAUGCUUUCUCUUCUUUGGCUGUUUUUGCUUAGGUGUCUUGUUCAGGUCGAUGCCUUCAUCACCUUCCUUUGCAACUAUAUUCUUUCCUUUGCACGGACUGGGAGGGGCAGCACUGGAUGAUGCCACAAUGUUGUGUAAGAGUUCAUCACAGCGGUUUUCAGUAGCUCCAUUUGUUGUUGAUGUGAUGUACUCCUGAUUUUUAUCAGGGCUUGAGCCCUCAUCUGCAGAAAAAUUCAGUAUUUUCUUUGGCCGUUCUGGAGUGACAGGUGGACAUGGGAAGGAAUUGGUGAUGCUGGAGGUGGCAUCGGCUUCCACACCUGGUGGUGAAUUGAGAUUGAAACUAGGUUGGUAUGGAAUGGGGAAUCCAUCUGCAGAAAGACAGUUUCAUCAAUUGACUGUUAAAUGGUAAAAGCAUUAAAUUAGUAAAUUAUAUUGUUUUUGACAUCCUUGGAGAAAGUUCUCCAUUUAUAAAGAGGUCUGUGGUGUCCAGUGUAGAAUAAAAUUCGUUUCUGUAGCAAAUGCAAUAUUUUCAUUGAUAUGAUAAAACUGACACAGCCUGAGGUUCUUUACUACUAAAGAAAAUUGAAUUUAUUUCUUUUUUAUGGCAUUCAAUAUUUGUAUUUUGUGUUCAUUUAGAAAAAUUCCAUCUGCUUCCCAUGACAUUUUUGGCCUGAUUUUGGCUUUUUGCACUAUUUGAAGAGACUGGAUUUCUUAAUGGUGUGUUAGAAUUCUCAAUGAGCUUGUCUUUCAUUUAGGACCUGACUACAUUUUACAUAAAAGAGCUUUGUUCCCAAGUUCUGUGAAUUCAAGUUAGAACCAGUGAUGCGAUUGUGUCUCAACAUCCCUGUUUAAGUUAUAUAUGAUUAGUGCCUAGUGUAAUCACUAAAAGGGAAAUUAGAAGGUAGAGAGAAAUGAAUCAAAGAAAAAGGGAUCAAGCCACUUACACUCAGGUAUCUGCAGUAAGCCAUUACUGUUCUUCCACAUGCUUGAACCUGAGCAUUGAUUUUCUUUACCGAGCAACAUGUCAAUGGAAUUAUCUUCCCCCCAAUUGAUCUCAAACUGAGAAUGUGAAUUUGGAACCUGAGGCCUACUUGCAUUCAGAAGACUUCUUUCUGGGGCUUCACCUGUGGUUGCCUUUCGAACUAGAGGCCCAUUUGCCACAUGGAAAUUUCUGUUCUGUGCUUCACUCGCUGAUGUCUUUAGAACUAGAGGUCUGUUGGCAGUAUGGAUGCUUCUGCUCAGUGCUUCACUCACAGAUGGCUUCAGAGCCGGAGGUCUAUUUGCUGCCUGAACGCUGCUUCUGUCCACUGAGGCACUUGAUGCCAGUCCCAAAAGAUCCUGUAGAGAAUAUUCAUUCAGAUCAAUAUCACCAUUGUGCAUGGCCUGACUAUACAAGGCAGCAUCCCCAUUGCCAAUGGCCAGGUUGCCGGAGCCAGCACUCCCAUUUCCGAUGAGCCGACUGUAGGCUCCAGGACUGCCAUUAACAAAGGCUUGACUGUAGGAGCUAGUGCCACUAUUGGCCAAACCCUGAUCAUAGAUGGUGCUGCCAUUGCCCAAACCCUGAUAGUAGAUGGUGCCCCCAUUGGCCAAGGCCUGACUGUAAGUGCUGGUGCCACCAUUAGCCAAGGCCAAGGUCUGACUGUAAUUGUUGGUGCCACCGUUAGCCAAGGCCAAGGCCUGACUGUAAUUGUUGGUGCCAGCCUGACCGUAAUUGUUGGUGCCACCAUUAGCCAAGGCCUGACUGUAGGGGAUUGUGCCACCAUUAGCCAAGGCCUGACUGUAGGGGACUGUGCCACCAUUAGCCAAGGCCUGACUGUAGGGGAUUGUGCUACCAUUAGCCAAGGCCUGACUGUAGGGGACUGUGCAACCAUUAGCCAAGGCCUGACUGUAAAUGCCUGGGCCGACAUUAGCCAAGGCCUGACUGUAGGUACCUGUGCCAUCACUAUUCGCAAAAGGCUGACUCUGGGAGACUCUGCUGCCACCAUCAGUGAAGAUAUGUUUGUAGGUGCUGGUGUCACCAUUGACAAAGUUUUGAUUGUAGGAACCUGCAAUGUGAUUGAUCAAUCGAUUCUUUUCUGCAAAAUUGCCAUCCCAAUUAUAUAAUGUCUGACUCAGACCUCCAAGAUCAACUAGAUUCAGAUUCUGAACCACCCCAUUGCAAUUCUGAGUUUCAUGCCCACCAGGAAAACCCAAGAGUGCUUGCCAAUUGGUUCUUCCUGCCUGGUUCACCUGCUUGUCAACUGGAACCGGCUGAGAUCUCACCAGAAAUUGCUUAUCAGUGCCUGCUGGGAGCCAAUUACCCCCGAUCAGCAUGUCAUUUUCCUGUGAGAUUGAAAUCCCUUUUCCAAAAUUCAUCCUUUGGAUUUGUGUGCCACAAGCAAUCCAACUUUUUCUUCCCUCCUAUUUGUUCCAACACAUCCCACUCUUCUAAAAGCUUUUUAUCUUCCAAAAAUCCUCUGAUGAUUUCUCUGUAAACCCUUCUCCCCUACCCCAUUGCCAGAACCUAACCUGUUAAAGCCCCAAAAAUCAAUUUCCCAAUCAAACAAAUUCUAUCAAAUCAAACAUGCAAGCAUUAAAGAAGAAAAACAAAAUAAAGCAUUGUUUUUCCACUAAAAAAUCGCAAUUGCAUCCUCCAUUGAUGCCCAGCACUCUGCUUUAAAGCCAAAUAUUUCUCAACAAUUAAAACAGCCAUAUUCAAAAUAUGAAAUACAUAACUGAUAAAUACAAAAAAAAACUUGUGAAAUCAGAAUAUAUUCCUAGAUUUAAUACUCUUUUUAACGGAUAAUAUUGACCAAAUAAAAUCAACAAAAAUCUCCAAAGAAUCUUCCUUUGAUAUUGCAACAAACACAACCACAUACAAGGGUCUUGGUCAAUACCAAUCAAUUAAACAAACCCACAACCAAAAAAAAAAAUUGAAGAAAAUUACAAAAAAAAAAUUCAACUACAGUUGAGCUCACCGAUCUCUCUGUGUGUGAGAUGGCCUGAGUUAGGUACCUGAGAGACGAGUCAAUGCCGGAGAAGCAUAUAGUCGUCCAUCUUUACAGAAAAAGAGAAGAGAAGGAAGAGAGAGAGAAAAAAAGAAAAGAUAGACCACACUUUUAUAUAUAUAUAUAUAUAUAUUAAUAUAUUAAUGCAUAUAUAUAUAAAGUUUCACUACUUUGGGCACUUCACCCCUUUUUUCCAAUCACAUCCGAAAUGUCGCAAUCACCCUCCUUUUGCUCCCUGCUCAAAGCGGACUCUUUCGUCAUUUCAACAGGAGGCGGUGGUGUGGCUACGUACGAAAUGGGAAGUGCCGGAAUUGAGUUUCUCAACACGCAUAAAAGACUAGUUAGGAAGUAACAUUUUCUCGUCCUUUUCUCUCUUCAAUAUUUCCUUUCCUCAAAGUAAUUGUGAGUUCAGUAAAAGAUUCGGUGUAUUUUCCGUAUUUUCCCUAAAAACAUUUCACUGCCAAGGACAACCGCGCUGUAAAUUUUAUAAAUUUACCCUAUUGGGGUCCGCGUGUCUCGCGUGUCUUGGCCCCACUAUGGUAAGCGUGAGACACCGCCCACACCCACGUGAUUCAACAAAUAAGCAAACAAAUCAAGUCAAUUUUUUUUGUUUGGUUUUUAUUUUUGUUUUUCUUUCACGUGAUGUGUGUACUGAUCUUUCUCUUUGAAUUGUCAAAUUUUCCAUUCUUUCUUAACGUAUUAUAAGGUAAUGCAUUGAAAAUUAAAUUUUGUGGAAUAAUCACAAUAUUUUAAUUCCAUAAAUUGAACAAAUAAUUUUUAUAUAUUUUUAAAUUAUCCUUUUUAAACUAAUGAUCAUUUAAAAAAUUUAUAAAAUAAUAAAAUUUUAAAAUUUCAUAUUCAAAUGCUAUAAAUAAUAAAAUUCGAUGAGUUUUUGUCUUGUCUUGCUUUUAAUAAUGGGCACGUGAAACAAAAGUUACAUAUGGGAAAACGUUUAAACAUGAUAUUCUAGUCAAUGAUGCUACAAAAAGAAAGCGGCUAAAAUUGAGAAAUGCGUGACACUGAAAAACAUGGAGGAAAAUAAAAAAGUUGUUAAAUUCAAUGUACCAAUCUUAUUUCACAAUUUUAAAAAUAUUUAGUCCGUUUAAUAUAAUCACCAUGAAAUCAUUACCAAUCCAAUCAAAAUUACCACGAAUGAUUGAGAGUGUGAUUUGUUAGGGUGACACCUGCCCCUCACUCACUCUGCAACGGGGCAGAAAAAUCCUAUACAUUCACCUCCACGCUAAUUAAGAGCAAAAGUGGUUAGGCAGAAUUUUCAAUUCCUGGGUGGGCCCCUACCCUAAAAGGCCAAAACCUAAAUGGCCUGCAGUUGUGGUAAUCUAGGACUUUUCUCUCACCACCUAACUAUAGACCACAGGUUUUGCACGUGCCACGAGGAGAGUGGGUCUAGGGUUUAAGUCCUGAUGUUUGACCAGGCAGAACGCAUGAAAUGCUGCAGUCCUAUUGGUCCGUGACUUCGUAAUGGUAUCAGUGACGAGGAGAAUAGCCAGUGGUCCCCUUACUUCUAGAAGACGCCACGUUUUAUUUAGUCCGUGUCGUGCGUCGUAUGAAAACGACUCUCAGCUUCCAUCCCACGGUGGAUGGACCACCGAGGUUAUGCUACCCUGUGCUAUGCUCUACGUUAAUAGUCUGCGACGACCAGCGUGGAGAGAUUCUGAUGACACUGUCUGUCUGCAAGGCAAAUUGCAAUUGCCACCGACAAAAUUGAUGCUUCCACCGAAAGAUUUCACGUACGACCAAUAUCCUCCUAAAUCUCGCACCAAAAAAAAAAAAAAAAAAUCAUGCAAAAUACAGGGGUGGGAGAUAUUUAGUAUAAAUUUUAAAUAUUAUCAUGUAAAAAAGUAUGCUUUUUUUUUUUUAAAAAAAAAAAAAAAGUCAAAAUUUGCUUAUGGUUUCUUUCAUUUCUAAAUCUUAGAAAGCAUAGUGAAGAAGAUAGGCAAGAUGGAGACACCUGAAAACACAUGGGAGAAGUAAUCCACCCAUAUGCCGGCAUUUAAUGGAUUUUUUUUUUUCUUUUCUGAUAAUGAUGAUGUCCGUACAAGUGGGGUACAACAGAUUUUUUUAUUAUUAUUUAUUUUUUAAUUUUAAAAAUCUUAGGAUUGUUUCAGUAAAUCACAAAGUUAGGCAUGGCGCAUUAGGGUUUUUAAUGAACGUUAAACAAAGGAAUGAUGGGAAAGGUGAACGACGGCCACUUUUGGAAUCUAACAAGGUGCCCAUGCGGCAUAUAUAUAUAUAUAUUUUUUUUAUUUUUAUUUUAUAAAAGGAUGUAAAAAAUUUGGAUGUUUUGAAAUUACUUUAUUUUCUUGGCGUCCAAACGCAGUUGGAAUAGAGAAUAAUAAGAUUCAUUUUUAAGCUAUAGUAUAUGUAAUAAAAUUCAUGUUUCCAUCUGAAUUUUGAUGGAUUCCAAACUUGAAAAAUAAAGAAAUUCAAAUGGAUUAAAGAGUUAGAGUGUGUUUGAUAAUGAUUUUAGAAAAUAUUUUUAAUAUUUUUAAUAACUAAAGUUUUUUAUUUUUUAUAUAUUAUAAAAAUUAAAAAUAUUUUUUUAUAAUUAUUACCAAAUACACUUUUAUGUUAAAAAAUUUAAAAGUUAAAAUUGGAGCACCUGCUAUUGUUGUUUAAUUAAAUUUUUAUGUUUAAAAAUUUAAAAAAAAUUUUAAUUAAACAAUUUUUUUUUCAAAUCAAGUUAGUCUUUCCAUUUUAUUUUUUAAGAUAUUGACAAAUUAAGUUGAUGCUAGUUUUUUUUUUUACUUAAUUUUAUAUAGAACUUAAAAUUAAAUAGUGUUAAGUAUUAAAUUAUUUAUUUUUUUAGUAUUUUAUUUUUAUUAAGUAUUAAAAGUAAAAAACAAUCAAUAUUAUUUUUAACAUUAAGAAAAAAUCAAAUAUUUUGAAUUUUUUCUAUUCAAUUAAAAAAUUUAAUAAAUAAAUAAUAAGUUAAUAAAGAGUAAAAAACAAACGAUCUAAAAUUUGAAAAUAAGUUGUUUUCAACAAAAAAUUAGAGAAAAAAACAACACCUAAAUUUAUAAUUAUACAACUUAUAAUUGAAAAUUCUAGUAGAAUACUCCUAUUUUAUCUUCAAAUAUAUAUAUAUAUAUAUAUAUAUAUAUAUAUAUAUAUAUUACAUAUAUAAAAUUUAUUUAUUUUAGUUAUUAUUAAACACACCUACUUCAAAUCUCUCUAAAAAAAUAAUAAUUUUUAUAAACAAAUUUUUUUUAUAGAGUUGCCAAUUGACGAAAGUUGAAAUAAACUAUGGUUAGGUGUAUUUACAUCAAACCUUUGGGAGUCUCGUUGAAAUCAACCCAUUUAAAUAUUAACAUAGUAUUAGAAGUUUAAGGUUUUACUUAUAUAAUUUAAAAUGUAAUUUUGGUAACAAUUAGGUAAUUUUUUUUUUACACAAAAGACAAUCGUCGUUGUAAACAUAUAAAUGAAUUAUAUAAUUUGUAUGCAAUAGGUUGUAGUUACACUUGUAUUUCAUUACCAUAAAUAGAGGAUACCCAAUAUUAGGAUUUUGAUUUGAAAAAGAGAUCUUAGCAUAAUUUGAUAAAUGAUCCAAUAUAUAAAAUAAAAUAACAUAAUUUGAAUUUGAAUCUAAGCAUAUAUAUCUAUACCACAAUGGACUACCAAUAUAUAGUACAAUUCAUAAAACAAUCUCCUAAUUUCAAUUAAUUUGGCAACUAGAAAUACACCUUUGGUUUAUGCCUCAUCAAUCCAAAAUACUAUUAAGAGAUGACACAAUUCAAUCACAAAGAGUAUUAUUUUCCUCAACAAAGGUUAAAAGUUUUUUUGAAAGCAAUUAAAUUAUUAUUUUUCUUUAACCAAAAGACUUAAAAUCAAAUUUUUCCUUCAGUGAAUUGAUGACAAUGGUAAGAGCCUCCAAGCCUUUGAGAUAAGUAGUAUGUUGAACGGGUAAUAAUUACAAAAAGAAAAAAUGCAAUAAUUUUUCUUUUUCAUAAAAAUCAAGUAUCACAUAGAAAUAAUUAUUUUACUUUAAUUAUAAAUAGUUAUUUUACUUUAAGUAAAAAUACAUCAAAGAAAAGUUGUAAUUGAUACCUUAUUCAAUCAUGUGAAUAUUGUUCGAUUAAGCAUUUCCAUAUAUACAACAACUAGAUUCAAAUAGGGAGACAACAAAUUAUUGAUAAAAUGGAGGUAACGUAUUAAUGUUAAUAGUUGUAUAUGUUCUCAUAUAUAUAUAUAUGACGUGUUUCCAUAGAGACCUCUAUCUUUUUAUACGAGGGUUUUGACCCACCUAAUGACGUUGUUUGACCGAUCCAAAAAUAACUCUCUACUAUUGAUCUAAUAGAAAGUUCCUUUCUUGCUUAUUAGUUACACCAAUUUGACAAUGAGCUAAUUGAAAGUUCAUAAUUUCUUAUAAAUUGAAUAAAUCAUGACAUUCAAGGAAUUUUUUGGCAAAAAAUAUUACAAUAAAUGCACAUGUAAUUACCCCUCUCCCGCUUAAUAUGGGGAUUUUGGAUCACUUGAUGAUAUUGAUUGACUAUUCUAAAAAUGAUACUUUAGUAGUGAGCUAAUAAAAAUUGGCAAUUCGCUCAUACAUAUUAAUAUACAAUAAAAAUUCCUUCAAUUAUCAUAAAGCGCAAUCAUAUUUUCACCCACGAUGUUGUUAUGGUAACAUGUCAAUAAUAUCUAAUAAGUACUUUCUCUUUAAUUUAUUUAAAGUACAUAGGGUAUUCUCACUAAUUAUACCAUUAUAGCAUCGAGGUUGAUACCUUCUUCGUGACUUUGAUUUAAUAUUUAAUAAGAGUCUCUUUCUCAAUUAGUCUAGUACAUGCACCAUAUUUUCACUAAUUACAAUAAUGUUAAUAAGGAAUCUCCAUGCUUAUAGCUUUGAGAUUAUAAGUUGUCAUAGUCUUUCCAUAUAAUUUAGUUCCAAUAUGUGUUUUUCUCUUUGUACCAUCUAAUAUCCCACAAGGCCUUUACAAUGAAUUUAGUGUAUAGUUUAAUCUUUCACAAAUUAAAUACCAUAUUUUCACUAAUAAUGUCACUAUGGCUAUAAACAAUAUCUAAUAAGGAUUUCCUUUUUCAUUAAAAUAAGAUCAAAACCAUAUUUUCUCCCCCCAUGUUGUUCUAUUAACAUGACAAUAAUAUCUAAUUAGUAUUUUCUCAAGUAAUAUUAAGGUAUCGAUUGCAAUGAACAAUAUUUAAUAAGAAUUUCUUUUUUCAUUAUUAUAAGAUCAAAACCAUAUUUUACUAAUUAUACCGAUCCGAUAAUAUGGGAAUUGAAAGUUGAUAUCUUGUUGGCUCUACCUAAUAUCUGACAAGAAUUUCUUACUUGGUUAUGUGAAAGUAAUGCACCAUAUUUUCACUAAUUAUACUACUUUGAUAUUGAGGACAAAUAUUGUCUUCCUGAAUCAAAUUAUAUCUUGCAAGAAUUUUAAUUAGUAUAAUGUCAUUCCAUACUUUCACUGAUUUCAUUGAUUUGAUAGCUGAGUUAAUUAAAAGUCGAUAUUUUGUUGACUUUGAUUAAUUAAUUUGUUUAAGAUAUUCUCCAUAUUUUUAUUAUUACAAUUAUGUUUAUACUAACUUUUACCAUAGAAUUGUUAAUUUUUUUUUGAUAUAUUCUAUAGAAUUUAGUAGUUUUUUUUUUUUGGUCUUUUUACGACACUAUCUUACUAAAGCCUCUACAAAUAAUAUUUUGUGGUCUGCUUUACUUUUAACCAAUGUAAAUAAUUUAUUUAUGUUGAUAUAUAGGUGUUGUAUCCUAACUAAGAAAGUGUUGGGUAAAACUUAAUAUUGAUUAAAGUUAAAUUAUACUUAAAUUAUUGAUUUAAAACUUAUUAUUUGAUUUUUUAAUUUAAGUAUUAAGAUUAUUUGAUAAAAUGCAUUUAUAAUUUAUUCUAAAUCAUUAAUUUUAAUUAAUAUUUAUUUUUAUUAAUGAUAAAUAAUAAAUUUGUCUAUGAAAUAUCCAUAUUUAAAGUAUAGUAGAUAAAUAAGAUAACCAUAAAAUAUUUGUAAUAAAAAAUGAGUUAUGAAUGCGGAAUUAAGAAUUGUAAAAUAUACUCUCACUAGAUAUAGACAAAUGAGAUAUAAAAGAUUUGAAAUUAAUAAUAAAUUAAUAAUUUUGACUUAAUCCUUAAAGUUAAAAAUAAAUUUAUGUUAUGAUUUUAAGGUAUUUUACCGAACAUACUACUUAAAGAUUUAAAUUAAGUCAAUAAAUAAAAUAAAAAUAAAAAUAUUGAAAGAAUUUUUUGCAAACAUAUUACAACAAAUGCACAUAUGAUUACCACUCUCUUCCUUAAUAUAGGGAUUUGGGUCAAUUGAUGAUAUUUAUUGACCAUUCGAAAAAUGACAUUUUGGUAGUGAGGCAACAAAAGUUGGCGUUUUGCUUAUUCAAAUUAAUGUCCAAUAAAGAAUUUCCUCAAUUGGCCUAAAGUGUACAUCAUAUUUUCACAGAUGAUGUUGUUCUUGUAAUGUGCCAAUAAAUUUUUUUAUUGAAAUGUAGAACAUCUAACAAGUAUUUUCUCUUCAAUUUGUUUGGACUCCAUAUGAUAUUUUUACUAAUUAUACCAUUGUAGUAUCAAGUCAUUUGAAAAGUUGGUAUUUUGUUGAGUUUGAUUUAAUAUUUAAUAAGAGUUUCUUUGUCAAUUAAUCUAAGACAUGCACCAUGUGAUUUUCACUAAUUACAAUAAUGUUAAUAAUGUUAUAGUUUUUCCAUAUUCUAUAGUUCCAAGAUAUGCUAUUCUCCUCAUACCAUCUAAUUCCCACUAAAUAGUGUUGCUUUAAUCUUUCACAAAUGUAACAAUUUAUGAUGAUGCAUAUAGAUAUCGGAAUUUGACUAGUUGAAUAAUAAUGAUUUCAUUUGAAAAACUAAUAAUAAAACAUUUAAGUAGUGUUUGUUUUUUAAGCUUUUUCUUGAAAUCAAUUUAUUUUCAGAAUUUAGGUUAUUUGUUUUCUACUUUUUCAUAACUUAUUAUAAACUUUUUACUAAAUAAAAAAAUCCAAAAUAUGUAGCUUUUUCUAAAUAGAAAAAAUAACAUAUUAGUUUUUCCUUACUUUUUAAUACUUAAUAGAAAUAAAAUACUAUAAAAAUAAACAACCUAAUAUUUAACACUAUUAAACAUUAAGGUUUUAUUUAGAAUUAAGUAAAAAAACAAACACCACCUAAAAUUGGUCUUCGAUCUGUUUUAGUUUUUCUUCAAUUUUCAUUUUUUAGAAUUGUUAUGUUGCUUAAAAGUUUUAAUUUGUGCUAGAUAUCAAUGUGAUUUGGACUCCUAGCAAGCUACCAAAUCCUAGAGAGAAAAUUUGGUGUUACAUAAGAAGUGUAGUUUCGGAGUUAAAACCCUAUUUUUAUUGGCUAUGAGAAAAAAAAAAAAAUUGGAAACCUCACACUCAUAUGAAAAAAUCUAUAAAAUAGGAAUUAAAGUUUAGAAAAUUCAAAAUUUUCUUAAAUUUAUCUAAAAAUAAUAAGGAUUUUGCGUACUUCUAGGUCAAAAGUACUAUCUUAGACCAUUCUUGAGUACUACUUUUAACUAAUGGGUAUAUGAAAUUUGAAUUAUUUUUAGGAGUUUAUAUUAUUUUGUAGUUUUUUUUUUAAAUGAAUGUGUGAAAAUACAUUUCCUUGAAGAACUUAGCUUUUAUAAGCCUUACUCUAAAAAUUAGAAAAAAAAAAAUAUAACCAUUGGAAAGGAAAUAUUGAAUUGAAACAAAGUAGACAAAAAUGACUAAUGAAGAGGAACUUUUAGACUUCUAGAUGAGAAUAUCAUUUGAACGUAUUAAAUUCCAAGAUUUUGUUUUUUAAUUCAUUUACAUAAUUUAAUAUAUUAUCAUAUUUAUAAAGACUAAGAAUAAAAAAGAAUAAAUUUUAAUGGUUUUCUUUAUCAUAUUUGCUUUUUAGAGUUGUCUACUAUUUUAGUUAAUUAAAAAUAUGAGAAGAAAUCGUCUUAUAUGUGAAUUCUCUUAUGAUUUAAUUGGUUGACUUAUUUGUUUCUUAGGUAAGAAAAAAAGUGCAAAAAAAAAAAAAAAAAAAUCCAAAAUAUGAGACCCUUUUAUUCCAUAUACAUGAAUGUUCAUUCUACAUUGGUUUUUAUCCUUUUUAAAUAUUCUAAGGUUAUGUUUAGUUGGUUGGAUAUAAUAUAAAAUAGGAUAAGAGAUGAGAUAAUAUAUCUAACCUCAUGUUUGAUUGGUAAUGAGACAAGAUAAAUUAUUCCAUAACUGCUUGUAUUAUAUGUUCAAUUAAACAUGAUAAUAAAUGGUGUGAUAUAUUAUACAUCUUAUUAUUUUUUUUUUUUAUAUCUCUUCUAAAUAAGAUAUGUUAAUUUUAAUCUAAGAUGCAAGGUAUGCAUAUCCCAUGUAUCAUAAAUUUAUUUAUUUUUACUAAUUUUUUAUUUUUUUAUAUUAUUUAUUUUGUAAAAUAAUUUUUAUUAUUAGAUUAAAUUUGUGGUUAAAGAAAGAAAACUAAAAAGUAUUUAUAAAAUAUAUGAUAAAAUAAAAUUAAUAUAUGUAUUUUUUUUUAUAUAUAUAACUUAUUUUUAUAUAUUUAAUAACAAAAUAUAAUUUUUUUAUUUAUAAAGUUUAAGUAUUUUAGUCAUGAACAUUCUUAAAUAUAAAAGAAAUUUCAUAUUUUUUUAAAUAUAAAUAUUGGAAGACAAUAUUAUUUUUAUUUUAAAUAUUGAAAAAUAGUAAAUAUUUUAUUUUAUUUNNNNNNNNNNNNNNNNNNNNNNNNNNNNNNNNNNNNNNNNNNNNNNNNNNNNNNNNNNNNNNNNNNNNNNNNNNNNNNNNNNNNNNNNNNNNNNNNNNNNUUCAUUUUAAAAAUUAAAUAUUUGAAUAACAUAAUAUAUCCUAUUAUAUAUAUAUAUUAUCUUAUGAUACCAUGUCCACUAGAUUUAAUAUCCAAGGAUAUCAUAUCCAAGCAGAAAUCAAUGGGAUAUGAUAUCCUAAUAUAUAUAUAUAUAUAUAUAUAUAUAUAUAUAUAUAUAUAUAUAUAUAUAUAUAUAUAUAUAUAUAUAUAUAGUAUCCAAUGAAAUAUGAUAUUGACAAUGACAACUCCACCUUUUUCAAAAGUCAAAAUUUUACAAUAAAAGCCGAGUUUAACCAUCGAGUGAGGACGCACAUGAAAAAUACGGGUCCACACCCACUAAGGGCUUAGGCCACUUAAUCUAACCCAAAAUAGAUUCUAAUUGAUUAAUUAAUCUCACAAGGCCAUUUGACAAAUCAAUUAACCCAAUCAAGGGACUUUGUUCACUAACCCCUAUGCAGCCUUACGUAAUUGCCAAAACGUCCUUAUGCAAAAAAGUGAACUAAGAGUCAUACCAUUCAUAUGAUGAAUAUAUAAGUCUCCACCCAACCUAUACAUCGAAUUGAUUGUUGGGGGCCUUCAAUACAAACCUCUCUUCUAUCUGUUCUUUUCUUUAUUGAAGGGCUCUUUAAAUCUAAUGUAGCGGAAAACAAUGUUUCAAAAACCAAAAUACAUAGCUCUAGUGAUUAAAUGCUAAAACUUGCGAUCUGGAUGUUCCUAGAUCGAAUUCCAUUUGAUGAAGAUGUUGAAAACCAUAGUAGUUGUUUUAGAACUCGUCUACCCAAGAGUCUUCCACAUGAUCUUUCCUUCUAUGGGUUUAGGCAUAAAAAAGGGUGAGCUUCUCACACACACUCUCUCAAAAGGGUUGUUGGGAACUUUGGAUCACUUUGUUCCCAUGCCUUGGAUCUUAUAAGGUGCAUGAAAAUCUAUAUUAAACUUUCUAAAUCUAUCGCAAUAGAAAAUUAGGUAUUUAAAAACCAAUAUUGAUACUAUAGAAAUCAUAGAUUUAGAGAAUAGAGCCAUAUAACUUUGAUUCAGAUGUUCCUGAAUUGAUUCCAAUCGAUAUAGAUAACUCCAAAGUUGUAAUGGAUCUCAUAAACACCAUGAUCUUCCACUUGAUGAUUCUUCCUUGUGUCUAGGCAUUGAGAUGACGGAGAUUUCAAGGGUGAAAGCUAGGGUUUUAUCUCUGGACUAUAGGGAGAAAAUAAUAAGAUAUGGAAAUCCUAACCUCUAAAAGAGUAUUAUAGGCUUCCAAUUGAGCUUAAGUGACUUAAGCCUACUAUAGGCUUGGAUCACUUAAUCUACCCAAAAAGGUUGUUAAUUGAUUAAUUGACCAUACAAGUUGCUAAUUAAUCAAUUUGCCCAGUCUAAAGAUACCACUCACUCCUUGUGCAACCUUGAAUAAUUACCAAAACACCCUUAUGCACAAAAGUGAACUAAAAACCUAUCUAACCCUUAUAAAAUGUACUAUCAAGGAAUAUGAGCUUAAAACAGGGACCAUUAGGACCCAUAGGAGUACUGGCUCUCUCAUAAUCAAAUUCUAAAAUUGACUCAACAUCCCACUAUAGAGAGUUGACAGUAUUCUGAUACCCUAUGUAUAUUACAAUGAAACACCAAGUGCUCAAGUCCAUGACCUACUAUCAACUGCAUGCAAGCUCCUCAUGAAUUGGUGUUUGUAAUUUAAUAAGAUAGUGCUAUCACCUAUCAAGAUUACCUUUCAAAUCCUUGAGUUACAGAUCCCGCUUAUUAUAUGAUUAACUGAUAUACUUUAGCUCCAAGAAGCAUAUGUACAAUUCCAUUAAAGGAAUUAUUGUGACCACAAAUUUCAUGAUCACAUGUCAUUUGGAUCACCCAAUGAGACACACUGUCUCAAUCCCAUGAUAUAUCAUAAUGUCUCUAUUGAGAAUACCUGUUGCCACCAGCUUCCAUUAAUAAUGAUUCAAUCCAUAGGGAUAUAUGACCACUUUAGGGUCUCACCCAUAAGUUAAAUUCUCUUAUUGAUUUUAACAUAAACUCAAAUUCUCACAAAGUUGAGAGUCUAUGCAGUAUAGUAGCUUUGUGAAUCAUGACAAUUGAUAGCCUUGUGAGUCCUGUCUACUGUGCAUCACAUACAUUAGUGCACUCACCAUGGGAAACCCAUCCUGAUGGCCAAGACAAGUUAUCCCUCCAAUUGGGAAGUGGUACACUACAGUCUCUACUAGAUUGCUCAAAUCCAUGAACAGAUUGUGGACAACUUAUCUAUUUACAAAGAACCCAUUGCUUGUAUCUUUUGUGCAACUCUUAAUGCACCCAUGCCAAGUCAUGUACAAAGGAAGAGACAUGGUCUGAAUGCUCAAAUCAAUGUCAAUACACCAAAAGGAUAGCAAAGAGACAAUUAAAUUUAACUUUGUUACAUUAUGUCUUAGUUUUUGGGGCUCAAUCCCAAUAAGGGUGACUAAGGUUUUUCUUUAGAGGCUUUUUGAAAUAUGAUAGGCAAAAUUUUAAAACCCUUAAUAGGGCUCUUCGUGGGCUUGAGCCCAAAUUGGCGUUUGGUUACCUAAUCUAGCCCACUUGGUCUUAAUUAAUUUGAUUAACCCUAUUGGACUCCAAUUAAUUAAGCCCGGUCUAGAAAGACAAUUUAUAAUAUCUAGUGCAGCCUUAUGCUUUUACCAAAAUGUCCUUAUGCAUACUCAAACCCCUUAAAUAGGGCAUGUAACAUGAACAUGGAGCUCGAGUAGGGAUCACUGGGACCCAUAGAAAAAUGUUGGCUUCCUCAUAAUCCAUUUCAAAAGUUCCAAUUUCCCAUUACUAUCUAUACAAUUCCAUGCAUUAUAUCUCAUGAGCAUUUUGACUUGAUAUAUUUUGCAUUGUACAUGACUUGGGUGCAAUAGGAGUUGCUUGGAAGAUCCAAGUCAUGGGUUCCUUACAAGUAUAUGAUUUGUUCACAACCAAUUCAUGGACUUAGGCAAUUUGAAGCUAUAGUGCACUACCUCCUAAUUGGAGGGAUGACUAAUUUUAACCAUUAGGAUGAGUUUCCUAUGGUGAGUACACUAAAGUGUAUAGUUUACACACUAGAUAAGACUUAUAGUUAGCCAUAACAUAAGGCUAUUGGGUAAUCAUGAUUCAACAAGUUGAUAUACUUUAUGGUUUCUUGACCUUGAGAGAAUACUAAGCUUGUGCCAAAGUUUGUUGUAACUUUAACUUACAAGUAAUACCUUAAAGUGGUAAGAUAUUUCCUAUGGAUUGAGUCACUAUUAAUAAAGGCUAGUAGCAAUAAGUAUUUUAAAUAAAUGCAUCAUGAUAUCUCAUCGAGUUUGAGACAAUAUGUCACAUUGGGUGAUCCUAAGAAAGUGUGUUCAAGAAAACUAUAGUCAUAAUAAUUCCUCAAGUAGAACUUGACAUAUACUUUUCAUGAGAUUGGACAUGUUUGUUGAUCACACAAUAGAAGAAUUUAUAAUUUAACGAUGGUAAAAUUCAACUUUAGAAUUGGAUUUUAAGGGAACCAACAUUGUUUUAUAGGUCCUGGUGGUCUCUACUUAAGCUCAUAUUCUUUGAUGACAUAGUUUAUAAAAGUUGGAUUGGUUCUUAAUUUACUUGUGUAAAUAAGAGUGUUUUGGUAAAUAUGUAAGGUUGCAUAGGAGUUAGUGAAGGAUCUCUCAAGAUUAGGUUAAGUGAUUAAUUGGAGUCCAAUUGAGCUAAUUAAUCAAUUAGAACCCUAUUAGAGCUUGAUUAAUUGGAGCUCAAGGUGGACUCAAGUCACUUAAGCUUACAAGAAGCCUAUAAAUACCCGUCUUAAGGGUUAGGGCUUCACUAUUGACACUCUUGUUUUUUGACCACUUAGAGAGAGAGAGAGAACCCUAACCUUCGCCCUUAUGAAAUCUCCCUUAUCUUAGUGUCUUGGAUUAAAGGAAUAUCCAUUUGGUAACAAAUUAUUGUGUUUACAAUAUCUUUUAUGACUUUGGAGUCUUCUAAAUGAACAAGAAUUGAUAUGGGAACAUUUACAUCUAGGUAAACAUAUCCAAAUCUUUAGUUCUACAUCCUAAAAAAGUUUUUAUAUGCUUAUUUGCUUGCAUUGCUAGGAUCUAGAUAACCCUAGGAAGAUUGCAUGCACCUAGCUAUUUGAUGCAUUGUCAGGAAACAGAGUAAUCUAGAAUUUCCUACAACUGGUAUCAAAGUUCUAGGUUAGGCUUUAAGCAUGCUAAAACCUUUCUAGGAUGUGCUAACCACUAUUUUGCAAGGUUUUUUUUUAUUCAUCCCAUGACCCAAAAGGAUGAAUGUAUAGAUGAGAUUUUGUUAGCUAUUGUGUUGUUUGAAUGGAUAGUUUGCUAUUUUUUUUGUUAGAUGGGUUGUACACCCUAGAAGUGGUAAAUGAUUUUUUAUUAGAAUUUAAAAAUCCUAUUUUCAAUAUUCAUAAACUGGUGGUAAACUUCAAUUUGAAGGAAUAUAGGCUUUUUGUGAUUCUAUGUAAAAAGUUUAUGUUUUUAUUAAUCUUUGUAACCAUUUGAGAGCAUGGAGAUGAUCAAGUCGAUUACACAACAUCCAUAGUGUUUUACUAAUCGAAAAAGGUAAGUUUUUCAAUAAAAGUGAGGUCGAGGAGGAGUUCCAAUUACUCUUAGAUUUGGGAUCAUAUCGACAACACUCAAGUGCCUAAAUUAGUGCUCAAGAAAUCAUUGAGCACUCAAGUGUCAUUCUAAUGUUGCAUCCAUUGCUAGAACACUUCUAUUGGCUUUACCACUAGAAAAUUAUAGUUUUAAGUUUUUAGGGGCAUUUUAGAGUUUUGUAAUUUUUUUCUAACCCUAGUUUUGUUACACGUAUUUUUUAUUUUUUGGAAAAUCCAAUAUUUGGUCUUAUCAAAUAUGCAAUAGGAUCCCUAAGGCCAUGAGAAUUUAUUUUUCCAUAUAUGUUUUUUUAUAUGCAUAUUUGAUAUAUGGUGUGAAAUAUAUGAAUUGUGGAUAAAAUAAAUUAAAGGGUAAUUUUAGAAUUUCCUUUGGAAAGUAGAUUUUCAUGAGAAGGAAAUUUCAAAAUGAAUUUUUAUUUAAAUUGGAAGUGUGAUAAAAUUAAGGAAUUUUCUUUUUAUAUGAAAUGAUUUUUGGAAAAUUUAGAGAAUCUAGUUUCCUUAUUUUUCAUAAUAGCUUUGGUAGAUCUUUUCCAGAUUCCCUAAAUUUGAGAUCUUCAAGGAUUUCAAUUUUUAUACAAAAAAUGGCAUUAAUAAAGCAUGUAAUGGAUGAUAAUAUACCUUAACCUAAACUAAAGAAGGGUGACACAUCCUUCCCACCAUAAUAGUACUUUCAGUAGACAUAAUGCUACUUUCUUCAUAAAGGAGUGAUAUUUUUUUCUAAGGGUUGUGUCAAUCAGUGUUAUUAUACAACUCCUCCUACACAUUUCACUUUUAAAAAAGAUAUGAAGCCCAUAAUGGGCUAUAAAAAACCUUAUCUUAAACAAAAGAAUGGUGGCACAUCAUUCCUAUCUCAAUAGUACUUUCAAUAUACAUCAUUAAUAUUUUUUUUUCCAUAAAAAAGUGAUACCUUAUUUUCUAAGGGUUAGUGUCGAUCAAUAUUAUUGCGUAAAAAUUGCAACACAUUUCAUGUUAUUUCAUAGUUACAUAAGACAUGGAAUACAUAACAAGCGGUAACACACCUUAUUCUAAACCAAAAGGUGAUACAUUCUUUAUGAAAAAAAAUGUGUUAAAAGUACCAAAUGUGUGGAAAUGAUGUACUGUCUUUCUUUGGUUCCGAGUAUGGUAUGUUAUUGCCCGUUACGUGCGUCAUGUCUUAUAUAUAUAAUGAAAUAAUGUGAAAUGUGUGAGAGUUUUUGUAUAAUAACACUAAUUGACACAACCCUUAGAAAAGAGGUAUCACUUCCCUAUAAAGAAAUUAACAUUGAUGUGUGCUAAAAGUAUCACUAUGGUAGGAAUGACAUCAUCUUUCUUUGCUUAAAGGUAUAUCACCACUCGUUGCGUGUUACACAUUUGAUGUAAAAGUGAAGUAACAUGAAAUAAGUAGAAGUUUUUGUGUAAUAAUUCUGAUCAACAUAACCUUUGGAAAAGAGAAAUCUCUCAUUUAUUUAAAAAAAAAAAAAAACUAAUGUGUGUUGAAAGUAAUGUUUGAAAAAUAAGAAUUUAUCAUUGAAAUAUCUACAAAAAAUUGGUUAUCAGUGGUGGUCGAAACAAAAUCGGCCAUUGAUUAUUGAUUGGGUGAAAAAUCGCUUAAAAAUCGACAAUAUUAUUGAUAUUUCGACGAUAAUAUCGUGUGUGGAGGAUCCGCGACAUGGAAAAAUUGGUGAUUUUUUGAAAAAUCGUUAUUUUUUUGAGAUUUUUUGGCAUCGGUUCUCCUUUGCAUCCAAAGGCUAAUUUUGAAUUUUUGAAGAUCCAAUGGUCAAGAUUUCCCUCGUGUUUUUGUAAAAGCAUUCAACGGUUAGAUUUGUGAUUCAAUAGUGGAAAAUCAAUCUUGACUCGAUCCAAUGACUAGGAAAUGUUCCUAACAGCUAUAUGAAGGAACCAAAUUUCGAUCUAGUGACUAAAAUUAAUUUACAAUGGUUAUUUGACCAUCCAAUGGCUAGUUUGACAAAAAAAAUUCUAUAAAUACCCACAAUCCAUUCCAUUUAAUACAUAAAAUUUUAGUAAUCUUGAUUUUGUUUUAUUGCUCCAAUUUUUUUUAUUUUUUAUUUUAUCUUCAUUAAACUUUUUAAAUUUUAGGAAUUUGGUGGUAACAUGUUGGAUUAAUUCUAAAGCAAGACUAAUUAAGGUAUGUUUUCACUUUCCAUAUAAUUUAUUUUUAUUAUGCACAGUUCAAUUUUAUUUGUUCUGUAUAGUUUAAUUAAUAUUACCUAACUUUAAUAUUUUUCAUAUUAACAUUAAAUUUCAUAUUGAAUUAAUUUGAAAUAUAUGCAUAUUUAGUUUCAUUUUUUAGUAAUUUUAAAUUUAAUAUUAGUUUCAUAUGGAAAUUUAAUUAUAAUUUUUAUCUAUUUGAUAUAACAUAUAUGCAUAAUUCAAUUUUAAUUAGUAAUGAUUUUUAUCAAUUUCAUGAAUAAUAUUAGAUUAACUUAGGUGUUUAUCUUUAAUAAUUUUAAAUUUCAUUCACAUGGAAAUUUAAUUAUAAUUUUGUCUGUUUGAUAUUACAUAUAUGCAUAAUUCAAUUUUAAUUUUAAUUUUUAUUAGUAAUGAUUCUUAAUUUUUUAUCAACUUCAUGAAUAAUAUUAAAUUAAUUUAUAUGUUUAUCUUUAAUAAUUUUUAAUUUAAUAUUAGUUUCAUAUGGAAAUUUAAAAUGCAUGUUUAGAAAAUGGCUAGUGAAAGUGGAAGUAGUGUUGUGGGCCGAAAUCCUGUUUGGAAAUAUUGUACAUUUAUGGAAAGGAAUGAAAAAGAAACAAUAUGUAAUUAGUGUGAGCUAACAAUAAAGAGUGGUGGGAUUACUUGUUUUAAAUUUCAACGAUCACAUAUAGACCCUGAUUCAAGUACAAAAAAGUGUCCCAAUGCGCCUCCAAAAGUGAAAUAAGAAAUAAGAUGACUUCUAGAGAAAAAAACAAAGGCAAAAAUGAAGAAAGUUGUAGAUAUAAAAGAGAUUCAAGCUGAAUUGCGAGACACAAUGGGAGAAAGACGUAGACAUGUAAUUGAUGAGAAGGAUGAGGAGAAGGAUGAUGAUGAUGAAGAUCUGUAUAUGUAUCUGGUUGACAUGCACCCUGAUGAGCAACAUACUUAUAAAGUGGCAGUUUGAGCUCAAAAGCUAAUGAAUGGAAUUGGAAACAAGAAGAACCUUUUGUAAGAGGCAAAAGAAAAAUAGGUAUAUGUAAAGUAGAAGACUGACUUAUCAAUUUGAAUUAUUAUUGAUUCUUAACAACUUUAUCAAUAAUAUUAAAUUAACAUAUAUGUUUAAUUUUCAUAAUUGCAAUAGGUGAGUCUUCACAUCAAACUAAUCCAACAAGGCAUAUGCAAAGAUUGCAAAGUACUCAACAUUCAUAUCCAUCACUGCCUAUUGCACCUUCAUUGUACAAAUCUCCAGCAGCAAAAUAGAAAAGUGUUAAAAAUCUCUUUAAAGGUGGUAUCAUCAAGGAAACCAUGAGAUGAUUGAUCAGUAAGUUCUUCAUAUAUGAGAGUGUUGCACCCAAUAAAGUAGAUUCUCAUCACUUCAAGAACAUGAUUGUUGGUGCACAAGCAGGUAAUUACUAUAACCUUAAAAGUGUUAUUUAUUUGAAGAAUAUCAUUAUUAUUUAUAAAGUAUGAUUCCCAAAAGUAUUCUUAUAUGCUUUAAUUAUAUAUGGAUGGUAGGUAUGGAUAUAAAACUGCCGUCUCCAUAUGAGAUCAAACACAAGUACUUGGAUAUGAAGUAAAGAGAUAUGAAAGCUUAUGUCAAUAUUCAAAGAGAAAAGUAAAAGACUUAUGGAUGCACGAUUAUGCGUGAUAGAUGGAUUGGGCCUAUGAAAUUAAGCAUAAUUAAUUUCAUGGUAUAUUCAAAAGGCAAUACAAUUUUCCUUAAAUUUGUCGAUUUAUCAAAUUGUAUAAAUGGUAGCAAAUACAUAUAUGGUUUGUUGAAGGAUGUGAUCAAGGAAGUUGACCAAGAAAAUGUGGUACAAAUAGUUACAAAUAACGGGGCAACAUUUGUGAAGGCGAGGAAAUUGUUAAUAAAGAAAUACAAUUUAUAUUGGACUCCAUGUGCAACACACUACAUCGACUUAAUGUUUAAAGACAUUGGUAAAAGGCUCAGUGUUGUAAUGUGAUAACCAACUUCAUCUAAAACCAUAGUUGGUUACUUACGCAUAUGUGGAAGGUAUGUGGUGGAGACAUAGUUCGCCUUGGAGCAAUAAGGUUUGCAACCAAUUAUAUUGCCCUCAAUAGUUUUUUGAAAAAGAUGGUGGACUUAAAGAAAGUGUUUAUCAGUAAUGAAUGAGCACACCACAAGUUAAGUCGCAAACUAAUCGGCCAAGAGGUUGAAAAACUUAUGUUUGACCAUGCGUAUUAGGAGACAGAAGCAAAACUAGUGUCAAUCUAUGAGGCACUAUACAUGGUUCUUCAUGACGUCGAUUCAAAGUUGUUUCAACAAUGCCAUUUGUUUACAAAUUUAUUCAAGUGAUAAAAGAGAACCUCACUCAACUUAAUGCUAGAGAAUGGAUGUUAGAAAUAAUAGCGGAUCAUUGGGAUAGAACUCUUAAACAUCUUCUUCAUGCAACAGGUAACUAAGUAUUAUCCAUCUUAAAAAGUUAUUGAUAUUUAAUAUGUUUUUUUUUAUAACAUUCUAAUUCUAUAUUUCUACUUCACUAUUGUAGCAUUCUUUUUCAAUCCAAGGUUUCAAUAUAGACAUGGAGUUUAUAAUGAUCCUGAUCUACUUCAAACUAUUCAUGAUGUUUUUGCAAAAUUAGAUCCUAUAACGGAAGGUCUCAGUCAAUUUGGAAAUGAGGUAAAUUAUUAUGGUUAUAAUACAAAUUAAAUCAUUGAAUUUCAUUUACACAAUUUUUUACUUUGAAGUAUUCAAUACGUGGCUUAUACUAUUUCAAGAUGCAAAGAGAGGAUUCUUUGAUUAAGCAACGAUUGCUUCGAGCUCAGAAUUAUUUAUGAAUAAAAAAUAAAUUUCAUUAGCAUAUUAUUGUAUAUUUCCAAUAUAAUUAUUGAUUUCAUUUAUUUUGUUGUAGCUGAAUGGUGGUUCAUGUAUGGAAACCACAUUCUUACAUUAAGAAGGUUGGUCAUUAAGGUUUUAUCGCAAACUGCAUCAUCUUUAACUUGUGAGAGAAAUUGGAACACGUUUGCCCUAAUUUAUACAAAACAAAAAAAUCGGCUAGCUUACUCGAAGCUCCAAUAUUUAAUUUUUUGUUAUAAUAACAUAAAACUAAAGAUACAUGAUAUAGAGGCAAAGAAUAAAAAAGUUGCGAAGAAGAUUACCUCGAUUUACUCGACAUUUCUAUCAAGGUUGGUGAAGAAAAAAAUAAUCAAUUUUUCCAACGGGUUAGACUUCUUCAUUUAGAUGAUGAAGAUGGAAAUCCUAACCUACGAAUUGCUGCACAUGUUCGAGAAACAGGUGUUGAUGUUGAACGAGUGUUAUUCGAAGAAGUUCAUAUCAAUAGUUUCAACUAAGACAUGAGAGAUUCAUUUCUACGAGGAAUUUCUUAGCUGACAGUCAUUUGUUAACCUUCCUUUGAUUCCACAAGUGUUAAACACAAUAGCAGACCUAGUGCUGCUGGUACUUCUGCUUUCGGUUAAGAUGGUUCAAAAGGAGAGAGGACCAAUGAUGGUAGCAACCUUGGAAAUGAUGAAAGAGAUAAUAGACAACAACAACAAAGUAGACGAUCAUUGAGCCUAUUCACUUGUGAAGAUGAUUUCACACACUAUACUCAAGAUGAAGACCACAACUCUAGAAGAGUUGGUCCAGGUGUUGGAUGCAUGGGAAAGCUAUAUAGAGGAAGACAACAAAUGACGACACCAUACAAUGAGGACUCAUUUUCGGCCAGUUUUGGGUCAAUGAAUGUAGAGACUCAAUUUAGUGACUCGUUAAAUAAAACCAACAUUUAUGCCCCUUAUACAAUGGCAUUGAUGGGUUUUGUUCAACCUUCUCUAAAUCCUUCAAGUUCCACUAAUGAAGAGUAUGAAAUGUAUAACUAUCAUUCUUCUACACAAAGGCCACACUAUCUUCCAUAUCAAAUGCAACAAGAAGGAUUUCAAACGAGUACAUGGGAAAACCUUAGGUUUCCAAUCCAUGGAGAAGUUGUGGGUAGGACUCAAGAAAUUUAUGCAUGACAUUUUCGUACUUACAAUCAGUAUUAUCAAAACUCCAUGUCUUGGUAUGAACAUUGUCUUCAACAAGAUAUGAUCCUUUCAUCUAACAAUGUGAUGGAACUACAUUGACCAUAAUUUUGGUACUAAGGACUAUUGCAAUGUAAUAUAUAUUGUGUAUAAAUUGUAUUCAUUCAAUAAAAUCAAAUAUUUGUUAACUCAAUUCUAACUUUCUAGGUGUGCACUUCCAAAAUUCAUAUUUUCUAUCCUUAAAAUCAAAGUAUCAAAUUUACUGAUAUAUCUCUCUGCCUACCGAUAUUUUUCUCAUUGACCAUAACUAUGUCAAUACACUUAUAGAAUAAUUUUAACAUGUGUAUUAUUGCUUAUUUUAUUAUUUUUUUUUUGAAGUUUUUUUCAAGCAUUCCCAUGAAUUUUGAAUAAUUUUUGUCCCAUCGAUAUUUUUAUCAAAAUAUCUAUCAAUAUUUUUAUCAAAAUAUCCAUCAAUAUUUUUAUGAUAUUUUCGAAAUAUCCGCAAAAUCCAACUAUCGAUAUAUUUAUGUUUAUUGAUAUUUCAAAAAUCGGCUAAAAGUAUCAUUGGGGUCGGAAAAAUGUGACACACUUUUGAUUUAGGGUAAGGUAUAUUAUCAAUUGUUACAUGCUCCACGUUUUAUGUAAUGGUGAAAUAACAUGAAAUGCAUGUGAAUUUUUACACAAUAACACCAAUCGACACAACUCUUCAGAAUAAUGACACCAUAAUUUUUAUAAAAAAAAAUCACUUAUGGGUGUGCUAUUUUUUCCUAGCGCACUUUAAGGAUGAACGACUUUAGUAUGUAAAAAUUUUAAUUCCUAAAAAAUUUAGAAGAAAAUUAAUAUAAAAUAUUAAAUACAUUUUUAAAGAAAAAUAUAAUUGUAGACCCCCCGAGGAGCUGAGGGCGGGGCUUUUAUUAUUACUUUUUGCUGUUUUUCGGAGGCCCUCUCGAGUGGGCUGCUCUCAGGCGGCUAGAUGGGACGGGUGGCAGAGCAAGUAGUGGCUUGCUGAAGAAGACACGGGAGCAGGAUGUCAGAGAGGGGGGGAAGUUUUUCUGCUGUGGUUUUUUUUUCUGAGAGAGGGGGGGUGUCUUUUGGAGCUGGUCAUUGAGGGGAUAUAGUUGAAGAGAGAAAGAGCGGAGUGCCGGGGUUUGAGGGAGAUUCUAGCUGGAGAAGAGAUUCUCUGUUUUUAUAGGUAUUUUUGCUUGAAGAACUUAGGUACGAACACGGCAAUCCUCUCAUUUCUCGUUAUUCACUGUUUUUUGCUUCAGAUCGUUAUUGUUUCUUUCUGCAUUAUAUUGCUUGGAAUGGAUAUUGUAGGCCAUUUUGUUUGUUUGUUGUGAUAACCCUGUUUUUGUGUUUACCAUGCUUUCAUGCACCCUGUCUGUUUCAUUGAGGAACACCAUCCAAAAUCUUCAUACCCAUUUCACGUGCCAUGCAUGCCAUCACCUUUCCUCUCUCUACCAUCAAGCCCACCAUACCCACCUUCAUACCCACUGAACCCGUGGCUUCUUUCAUCACCCGUGCCAUCACUCCAUCCCAACCUUGCAACAUCCAUGCAAACACCCAUCUUCCCAUACCCAUCUUUACGCCAAUCCCACCCCUCGCCAUCUUUUCUUCUCUGCAACCGCGUAUCCACCAUCACUCACACCUCCAUGCGCGCGAGUCUUCUUCAGUGGCUGGGGAACGGGCAGCAGCCGAGCAAGCCUUCCAUUCCCCACGGACCUCGUCGGAGCCGCCUUCGGGGUUCGGCGCCGCUGUUUCGGCUCGGGGGCGUCUCUCUAGGCUGUCGGCAGCAGCCUGCUUGCUGUCCUCUUCAAUGGCUUCCGCGGCGUGGACGUCCAUCUCUGCUGGUGUCGUGGCUUCGAAAGCCACGCAUCACCACCGUCUCGGCGCCACCAUCCCUGCCCCUAUCCUCAACGUCGCUGCAGGUGGAGACUUUGCCUGAGGGAGUUGCCCAGCUGGAUGGGGCCUUGGGCUGUGCAGGGGGCUUGUUUGGUGACGGGCUUGGUUUAGCCCAUGAUGGCUUUGGGCUUGGGUUUUCCAGGCCCAAGCCUAUGCUGAAGGUGGAGCCUUGAGUCUUGCCCAUUGAUGUCAUUGGACCUGGGUUUAAGUUGGAGCCCAGGCCCAUUCACAUUGAUGAAGGCCCUAUGCCAAUUCCCCUUAUUAAAGUGGCCCAUGCCCACUUCAAGUUAGCCCUUCAGGCUGCCCAAUUCCUAAAUAAUCAUUUUUUUUUAAAAUAAAACAAAACCUCUAAUAUCCAUAAUUAAUUAAUCAAAUCACUUCCUUUUAUUUGUUACCUUAUUUUUACCCAUUUAGUUAACUCAUGACAAAUUAUUAUUGUUAAUUAUAUUUUUAUCUUGGAGCUUAUGUUAUUCAAUUUAACUAGUUUAAACAUUAUGAUUGUUAAUUAUUAUUAUUACUUCGUACGCAUCUAUUUAUCAUCUUUUGAAAAUCUCAGUCAUCAAAGUUAAAUUCUAACCCUUGAAAAAUCCCAUAUCCUAAUUUAAUCUUUCAAUAAUCUAUUUAAAUCCCAUUUUCAUCAAUUAAGAAUUAUCACCAUAUAUGUCUAGCUAUUUAAAGUCUAAGGUUUUCAAAUAAAUCAUGUGUCUUAAUUUAAUUAUUCAAUAAUUAGUUCAAAUCUCAUUAUCACCCGUUAGAGUUAGUAUCCCAUAUUUAUAUACUAAUUUAAAAUCCAACCCUUCAUAAAUCCAAUGUCCUAGCUUAAUUUUCAAACUCCUUAAAAUUCCACUAUUCUUUUCAUCUUGUUUUAACUGAUUAUUUUCGUUAAUUAGCAUUAUCAUCCUAUAUUAGUUUAUUUAUUCAAAAUUCAACCCUUUAAAAAAAAAAGAUCCAAUGUCAUAAUUUAAUUCUCGAUCCUAAAAUCCCACUAUUUGUCUAAAUGUUAUUUUCUUUAAUUUGAAUUAAUAUCCUAUAUUCAUUUAUUUAUUUAAAGUCUAAUCCAUUAAGAAAAUCCCAUGUUUUAAUUUAAUUCCUCAAAUACUCUUUUAAAUCUCAUAUUUAUCAAUUAGAACUACUAUCCUAUAUUCUCCUAUCAAUCUAUGUCAAUCCUUCAAAAAAUCCUAAGUUUUAAUUUAAUUCUUGUUUAAAUCAUAUUUUUAUAAAUCAAAUCAUUAUCCCUUAUUUAUUAUUUAUUCAAAGCCCAAUCUAUAAAAAAGGUCACAUGUUUUAAUUUAAUUCCCCAAAAACUCUUUUAAAUCUCAUAAUUAGAACUACUAUCCUAUAUUCUCCUAUCUAUCUCUGUCAAUCCUUCAAAAAUCCUAAGUUUUAAUUUAAUUCUUGUGUAAAUCAUAUUUUCAUAAAUCAAAUCAUUAUCCCGUAUUAUUAGUUAUUCGAAUUCUAAUCCAUUAAGAAAAUCCCAUGUCAUAAUUUAAUUCUUCAAAUGCUCUUUUAAAUCUCAUAUUUAUUCAACUAGAAUUAUUAUCUUAUAUCCUCCUAUUUUAUUUAUACCGAUCCUUCAAAAAUCUCAUGCUUUAAUUUAAUUCUUCAAAUACUUGUUUAAAUCUCAUUUUCAUAAAUCAAAUCAUCAUCCCGUAUUAUUAAUUGUUCGAAUUCUAAAUCCAUUAAGAAAAUCCCAUGUCCUACUUUAAUUCUUUAAAUGCUCGUUUAAACCUUAUGUUCAUCAAUGAGAAUUAUUACCCUAUCCAUUCACCUAUUUUAUUUAUACCAAUCCUUCAAGAAUCCCAUGUUUUUAAUUUAAUUCUUCAAAUACUUGUUUAAAUCAUAUUUUCAUAAAUCGAAUUAUUAUCCCACAUUUAUUUAGUUAUUUAAAAUCUAAUCCUUCAAAAAUCCCCUGUCUUAAUUUAGUUUCUCAGUAAUUCAUUUAAAUCUUAUUUCCAUCAAUUAGGAUUAUUAUAACGUAUUCGUCUAUUUAUUCAAAACCUAGUUCUUCAAAAAUCUCUUGUCUUAAUCCAAUUUUUCAAUCCUUAUAAAUUUUACUGUUCGUUUAAAUUUUAUCCUCAUCAAUUAGAAUCAUUAUUUCCAUAUCUAUGCAAAGUCUAAUCUUCCGAAAACCCCAUGCCUUAAUUAAAACUUCAAUCCCAAAAAUUCUAUUAUUCAUCUUUAUUCACCGAAAUGUUAUUCUCGUUAAUUAGUAUUAUAAUCACAUACCUACCUAUUUAGUCAAAGUCAUAUCCCUUAAAAAUCCAACGCCCUAAUUCAAAUUCUCAAUUAGAAAAAUUCCACUAUCCUCUUUUUUAUUCGUUUAAACAUUAUUUUUGUUCAUUAAUAUCAUCACUCCAUACUUAUUUACUUAUUUAUUUCGAUCAUUAAAAUUCAAUUCUUCAAAACCGGACCUCCAAAUUUAACCUUGAGACUAAAAAAAUUCCACCAUUCUCUUUUAUUCAUUCAAAUAUCAUCUUUGUUAUCAUUGUUAUAAAUUCCACGUUUACUUAUUUCUUUCUUCUAAAAAUUCCAAUAAUUAGAGUCCAAUUAUUCAAAGAUCCGGCUUUCAAACUUAAUUUUCAAAAUCCCACUAUUCACUAUUCAUCCGUCCAAAUAUCGUUUUGAUUAAUUAACAACAUUAUUCCAUAUUUACCCAUUUAUUUCUCUUAAAAAUCUCAAUCAUUAAGGUCUAAUUCUUUAAAAUUCCAAUUUCUAAAUUUAGCUAUUUGAAACUUCAAUUGUCCAAUCUCCGAACUUAAUUUUCAGUUUCCCAUGCUCCAAUUCCCAUAUUUAUCCCGCUACUUAUUAUUAUCAUUAUCAUUAUUAUCUUAUUCAUUAUUUCUAUAAAUUCCGUCUUCGAAUGAUUUCUAGGAUUUCCAAUUUUUACACAUCAACUUUCGUUUUUAAAAUUCCAACCUCUUUCAAAUUCAUUUUCUAAAAAUUCUCAUUCUCAGGUUCAAUCUCUAAAAGUCUAAUCUCCAAAUAAAUUUUAAAACUCCAAUUUUCUAGUGAUCUUCGAGAUUCCAAUUUUUCAAUUAAAUUUCAAAAAUCUAAUUUUCUCCCGAGUAGUUUUAAUUCUGCUCUGGCUUUUAAACAAUCUUCUGCUCCUCUGGACUUUAAUAAGCAAGAACGAAUCUUCAUAAUUCCGAAAUAAUGGGAUUCGUGAGAUUUAAUUCAUGCAAUGUAAAUCGGGUUUUGGUGGGGGCCCAACAUAUGUGAUUUCCUUAUGAUUGAUUGAUUGUUUGUUUGAUUUAAUUGUCAUGCAUGAUCGAUUUUAUUUUGCUCUAUGACAUGCUCGAAAUUAUUCCUUAAUUAUGCGCUAACCUCACUUCUUGAUAGCGCUUUAUGGAUCACUGCCCAGGUACGCAUCCACACUCGCUUGGGUCAUUUUUCUGUAUGCAUGUUUAGAUUCCCACAUGUGCAUGAUCACUCUGAGCAUUCAUUGAUUCUCUCAUCAAUUUCCAUUGAUUGCUUCAUUUUAUUAGUAGAGACCCAUUUUUUUUUUAGGGACUUAGAGGGGUGCUACGGUCUCUACCGUACCUUCCCGAUAAGUAACCUGACCCCCGAACCCGAUCCGGUUUCCACGGACCACCUUUUCCAAAACAAGGAGUCACGCUUAGGGUUUUUCUUUCUUAUUUUGUUUACCCUUUAAAAAUCAAACAAAAAUAAGUGGCGACUCCAAGUCAUUUUUAAUCAUAAAAUCAUUUUUUCAAAUAAAAAUCGAGCUCGCCAUCGAGUGGGGAACGCAUGAGCCGAAAUGCGGGGUCCACAAUAAUUUAUUUUUUAUUUUAUGUAAAUAAAAAUUAAAAAUUUUAACCAGACAAAAUGUUAGAAUCACAAUCAACUUUUUAUUUUAUAUUAAUAAAAAUUUAAAUAUUUUAAUCAAACAAUUAUAAUCAUAAGCAAAAAGUUAAAACCAUGAUCAUUAAUUCUAAUUUUCAUAUAAAAAUUUAAAAUUUAAAAUUAAUAUGAACAAUAAAAUAAUAUGAUAAAGAUAUUUUUAUUGAAUAUAUAUAUAUAUAUAUAUAUAUGAUAAGAAUUAUUUUAUUUAGUAUACAUAUAUAAAAUCUUACAUCUUAAAUUUCUAAAUUUGUUUAUUAUGUAUUUAUUUUUAUAUUAAUUUUUUCUCAUUAAUUAUUUAUAUAUGUUAUUAUUUUUAUUUUGUGUGUAAAGUAUUCAUGAAUAAUUAAAAUCAAUAAAUAUGAAAAUAUGAAAGAGUGAAAAAAAAAACAAAAUUAAAAAGAUUUCUUGAGAGAAUGUACAUAACAAAAAAAUGUUGUGACAUGACUUUUUAGGUAGGAGAGAGAUAGAAGGAAAAAAAAAUAAUGUGACAUGUUGAUUCGUCAAACGUCAAACUUAAAAAAAUUUGAUAAGGAUGAUGAGUUCUCUUGACUUAUAAUCCUAAGGUUAAAAAAAAAAAAAAUUGGGUGAGUUGACUUGAGCAGAAGAGAAGAGUUUGAGAACAAUCUUGAAAUUUUAUUUAUAUUAAUUAUUUUAAGUGCAUGUUUUUUUUUUCUAUGACAUGCUUUUUGAAAGUCAAAAGUAAAAGUUAAAAAAAAAUAGUAAUGUAUUUUUACAUGAUUUUCCCAUAACAAAAUAAGGGGGAAUUAUGUAAGCAUACAUUCUUUAUAAAAUAUGGAUGAAUUCAAAACCCCCAAAAGUCACUUUCAUGGGGAGUGCAUUUUAAGGAAAACCACUUUCAUUUUAUGCACUAGAAUAGUAACUUCGUACAUAUUUCCAAGACUACCCUUCAACCAAUUGAAGGUGAGUUGUCAUCUACACAAGACAAAUUGAUAGGUAUACUUGAUUGGACUUAUGUAUACAACUGUCACAUUAACCAUCACUACUUUAGCUUCUACAUCAAACAUGCUAUUUCCUUUAACCUUUACAUCAAAUAUGCUAUUGGAAAUAGUAACAUUAUUUUUACCUAAAAGUAACAAUGUUAAUAACUAAAAGCACCCUUAUGGAUAAAAGGAUGUGUUGGUUUAUUUAUCACUCAUCACUACCUCAACUUUUAUAUCAAAUAUGUCACCGGAGAUAGUAACAACGUUUUUAUUUAAAAGUAACAAUGUUAGUAACUAAAAGUACUACUGUAAAUAACAUAAUAUAUUUGCAUAUUUAGUUUUUUUGUUGUCAUUGCUAUGACUUUGCCAGUGAUUAUUAAAUAAUAUGCCAAAAUAAAAUACACAUAAUGAACUUUAAAAAAAAUAUUAUUUAUUAAAAAUGAAAACAAUUUUAAUGGUUUAAAAGUUUAAUUAAACGAAAAUGUACUUUUUUACGUAUUUAAUAAAAAAAACAUUAGUUUUUUUUUCUUUUUUUAAUAUCAAUGUAUUAUGUUGGGAAUUGUAAAUUUAUAUUCAAAAAUUUAAUGCAAACAUUUUUAAAAUUUUAAUUUUACCUACCUUCAAAUAUAACUUUUAAAAUUAAAUACUCUAAAAGAAUGAUCAUCACUAAUUUUUUUGUUGAAUGAAGUUAAAGGUAAGUUAACAUUUUUUUUUAUAUAUUAUUUUUCUGUUUUUAUUUUGAAGAAAACAAAAAAUGUAUAUUUCAACACAUGUAGAUAAUGUUUUUUUAAUUUUUAUUAAAAAAUUAGCUUUAAUAUUCUAUAAAAAAAUGAGAUCCAUAAUAUGAAAAUUAUAAAUAUUAUAUAUAUAUAUAUAUAUAAAUAAUUGAAAUCAAUAUUAUUAAAAAUAUUAGUAUUUAUUUAUUUAUUAGAUUAUUAAUUAUUAUAGGUGAGUAUAUUUGUAUAUUAAAAACUAAUUUAUUUUAAUGUGUGAAUUACACAUGAUGUUAAAAUAAAACUUUAAUAAAGAAAAUGAAUAAAUGAAUUAUACUUUUAAAAAAUAAAAUUUGCCUUUUUAAUUGAGUAGAUUUUCAAAAAUAGGGAAAAAAAAGAAGAUAAGAAUUAUUUUACAAAAUUAAUUAAAAUCAUAGUAUUAAAAAAAAUAAUUUAUUUAAUUGUAAUUAAAAACUUAAUUUGAUUUGGUGAGAAUGUGGGAAUAGGAGCGACCAGUACGGAGAGGGAAAAAGGAAAAAAUGAAACAAGAGAAACAAAAAGUGGGAAAAGCCCAAACUUGGGCCAUUCAAGUUAAAAUAAAUAAAUAAUAAUAACUAAGAUAGAAAGAAAGAAAAAAAGGUUGGUGCGCUCACCUUCUAUAAAUAUAUACAAAAUUAUUACUUUAUAAUAUGAAAUGAGAAUUAUUUUCUCUGCUUAGACUCUAAUGAAAAUGACCUUUUCGAAUUUUGAAUUCAUUAUGAGAAUGUGGGAAUAGGGGCGACUAGUAUAAAGAGGGAAAAAGGAAAAAAUGAAACAUGAGAAAAAAAAGUGAAAAAAGCCCAAAACUUGGGCCAUUCGAGUUAAAAGAAUAAAUAAUAACGACUAAGACAUAAAGAAAGAAAGAAAGAAAAAAAAAAGGUUGUUGCGCUCACCUUCUAGAAAUAUCUACAAAAUUAUUAUGAAUUAUUUUCUCCUGACUCUAAUGAAAAUGACCUUUUUGAAUUUUGAAUUCAUGAUGAGAAUGUGGGAAUAGGGGUGACUAGUAUAAAGAGGGAAAAAGGAAAAAAUGAAACAUGAGAAAAAAAAGUGAAAAAAGCCCCAAACUUGGGCCAUUCGAGUUAAAAGAAUAAAUAAUAACGACUAAGACAUAAAAAAAGAAAGAAAAAAAAGAAAAAAAGGUUGGUGCGCUUACCUUCUAGAAAUAUAUAUAAAAUUAUUAUGAAUUAUUUUAUCCUGACUCUAAUGAAAAUGACCUUUUUGAAUUUUGAAUUGACGAUGAGAAGAUGUUUACAUAAUUUCCCCUUGAAAUGAAGGAAGAAAGUGAGAUUUGUGAGAGACAUGUGAUUUUUAUGAUAACUUUUGUAAAGGCACUAGAAGAAAACUUAUUCAAAUUAUAGAAGCGUAGUUUGACACGUCUCGAAUCCGCCCUGUUGGAGGUCCUUUUCUUCGGAGCCUAGAUUGUUUCAGGUGCCUUUUCAUAGGAAAUUGUAAAAUUUAAGAUAGUUUUGAAUGUAGAGAUGGGACAUAUAGCGGGACAUCAGUGGCACCAAUGAUUGGAAAGAGAGUAAGGGAAAUUGUUUUUAGAAAGUAAUAAUAUUUUUUUGUAUCACCGAAAGGGCUGAUGUCACCGGUGCGAAUCAGUCAUAGGAGUCUCCCGUAAGAAACAUAUCUAUAAAUAAUAUGAUAAGGAUUUCUAUUUAUUUGGAAUACUUAUUUUAACCUUUUGAUUGAAUAUUUUCCAAUUACUUGUACAACAUAUUAAACUUGGGAUUUGGAAAUAAUUUUAUUAUUAAUUAGGUUGACCCAAAUGGAAAAUAGGUAUCAUAGAUUAAACUUUGAAAGAGACAGGAUGAUAUUUCUGUCCACAUGUCAUUGGUGGAGUUCCAAAUUCUAGGAAAGGUUACGUGCACUACUUAAGUCUGAAAUGGAAAGUGGGGAGAAUCCAUCAGAUAUGACAACUUUGAAGGUUAGUGGUAAAAAAAAAGCAAUGGUUUUAAAAGCUACUUAAAUAAACCGAGACAUCAGAAAACUUUUGUUAUCUUAAAGAUAGAAAGUAGAUAAUACAUCCAAGCAAACACUUUGAGUCUGAGCUCCCAAAAUUCAUGGGGUAUUGAAUGUGUUGUUUUAGUGAUUGGACCAUGGUAGAACGUGUGGAAAUGGGCUUGGGUUGAGGUCUUUAGGCCUGAGAUCUAAUUGUCUGUGUCCUAGGUUCAAGCCCACCAUGCCCCGCCCAAUUUGUACCUUGAUAUUGGCACCAACGAAUAAACAAUGGAGGUCAGCUUUGCUUUAAUUUCUUUCAUUCUCUUUUGAAUGACACCGGGGGCACAUGUGUAAAAUUGAGAAAGAAACUUGGGCAAAACAACCACAAAAGGUCCCUAUGAAUGUGGAGGGGAGACAUUAACCCACAAAAGGUGCCUAUGAAUGUACGAAUGUGGAGGAGAGUCUUUAAACCAUGAAAGGUACCUAUGAGUGUAUGAAUGUGGAGCAGAGUCUUUAACCCACAAAAGGUCUCUAUGAAUGUGAAGGGGAGUCUUUAAUAACUUAACUUAAGCUAUUAAAUAGAUUAAGUAUAUUUAUUACAAUAACUUAACAUCAUAGUUUAAAAAGUUAAAAAUGAUUUUAAAUAUUAAGCUAAAAUAAUUAAUUUAUUUUUAUUUAAAUCUAAAGCUAUAUUUAUAAAAAGAAUAUUAAGAUUAAUAUAAAUUAAGUUAUUAAAUUAUUUUAAGUUGGAUGAGUUGAUUUAUCAAGCACCCUCUUAGUUUGCUUAAUUUUCAAAAAAUUUGAGAAAAUGUGAGGAGAGAGGCAAAUAAAAAGAGGAAGUAGAAAAAAAAGUAAAUAAAUAAAUAAAUUUAAAGUUUAUAAAUUAUUAAUAGUCGAUUUUAACUAACUUUUAAAAGAUGGGUCAUAUGAGUUGAUGCCCCUUAGCUGUAUAUACUUGCCCCAUUUACUGGGGGAGGCAGCUAGAGCCGAGGGGAGGCAGCAUAAAAAGAUCUACUUUUCGUUUGAACCCAAGACUCAUAUUACCCCCCUUAAUAAUGACAGGCUUGGACCCUUGGGUUAAGGCCCGUAUAUGCAUUAAAAGUUGCCCCUUGAAUCAAAUUGUUGGCUUCCCCACUGAUCACAUUAAUUUCCUUUAAUCUAUCAAAGUAGAAGUGGGUUAAGCCAUAAUUUUUCACCUCAUAUAAUGAAAAUGUAACCUCAAAGGAGUUUAAGUUGUAAAAGCCCAAUUUCCCUAGUUUGAUAUCCAUCCUAUAUUUUUGGGUUAGAAUAAUACACACUCAGCCCAAUCCAAAAUUUUAAGAGAGAGAUCUCGGCUGAGUCGAAACCAAUUUGCCUGACCCCUAGGUUAUGAACGGGUCACGGAAACUUGAAAAAUGCGACUCGUGCGGUAGCAUUUUGAUAGGGGUUACCAAAUAUAUUAUAUUUAAUAAUAUUUUUAUUCCAAGUGUUUUUACUUUAAAUAUUUUUGGGACAAUUAUCUAUCAAAUAUUUCUUUAUAUAAUAUUAUAAAUGGUUUUUCAAUCUUUUAAGAAUAAAUAUAUAUUUGACAAAUUUCUGUAUGAAAUCUUCCUAUCUAAUUAUGAAAUCUUCCUAUAUAUAAUAUAAUUGAGAUUUUGGAAUUUGAGAACUCUAAGAUUGUAAUCUCUUUCAAUUAUAGUAAAAGUUAUUUUUUGUUUUUAUCCGUGAAUAUAGACUUCAAGUCAAACCACGUAAAUCAUUAUAUAUAAAUAUGUGUUUUUAUUUUCAUCCUCUUUUUCUUUCCCCUAUAAUUAUUUUCUAUCACGGUUUUUCACAAUAAAGAGAAUAUCGUUCAAUUCAAGGUUAUAAUGUAUAUAUUGCCUUUAUUAUAACGUUAAGGUCGUAUUUUUUAUUUUUUACUAUUUAUUUGCAUUUUUUUUUAUAGAUUUUACAAGUUUACAAAUGAUUUAUAUUUUAAGAUAAAUUUUAUUUUAUUUUUAGAUAUUUUAUCUAAAUACAAAAAUAUGAAAGCUUUAACUUUUAUUUAAAACCUCAUUUCCCAAUGAUCUUUUGUAUCAAUUUUUCAUAUUUAAAAUUCCAAAAGAAAAACAAUGUCAUCCUAAUUAGUGAAAAGAGUUUAUCCACCCUCCAAUUAGGGAGAAAAAGUCAUCCCUAAAAAGUGAAUGGGGUUAUAAUAUCUUUGAAUAAAUUAAAGAUAAGUGUUAAGAUACAAAUAAUUCUUAUUCGGUAAUCACUACUCUACCACGUGUGUGAGGAUUUCAACAAAAAAAUAAUUAAGUUUCGAGACUUAUAAGCAUGGAUUGGAAUUUGGGUUUUUAUCGGUGAUAUUUCUUCUGAUAUCUCGGAUAUCGGACAACAUUGAUUAUCAUUGAACGGAGGGAUAUUGAAAAUAAAUGAAAUAUCGGCUCUGGAAUCGAUAAAUCGGAGGAAUAUCAGAAAAAUAUGAAAUAUCGGCUUUGGAACCGAUAAAUCAGCAAUAAAAUCGGAGUAGAGCGACAUGCGGAGCAAUCGGGAAGAACAGAAAAAAGUCGUCGAUUUUUUGGGGUUUUUUUUUUGAAAAUUUCCAAUUUUGAAUUUUUGACAAUCCAUAACCCAAAUUUCACCCGUGUUUUUAUAUUAUCAUUUUAUUUUAUAUUAUCAUUUUAUUUUUAACACUUUUCAUAUUUAUCUCAUUAAUCCUAUUUUUUAAAAUUAUUAUCACUUCACUCUUAAAUUUUUUAAUAUUUAUCCUUUCAAUUUUAUUUAAAUUUUAAAUGUUUUUGUUUUAAAAUAUUAAAAAUAUAAUCUUACCCAAAAAAUUGCUAUAAUAUAAAAAAUUAAGAAAGUCCUAAUAUUUUAUAAAUUAAAAUUAAUUUGAUAAGAUAAAUUAUUAAUAAUUUUAAUCAUUUAAAUAAAUUAUGUUAAUAGAAAAAGUUAUUACCACAUAUUUUUAAUAAAAUUUUAAAAAUUAAAUCUCAAAUAAAAUAUUUUAUAUAAAUUAAUUUAAUUUUUCAUUUAAAAUGUAAUAAAACACGUUUUAAUAAAAGUAUUUUAAAAAUUUUAAAAUAAAUAUUGUCUUUAACAAGAUGAACUCCCUUCAUCUAAUAAUAUGAUGAAAUCACAUCGAUCUUUAUUUUGGUAUUAAGGAUUAUUGCAAUAUCAUAUGUAUUAUAUUUAUAUAUAAAUUGUUUUUAUUCAAUAAAAUCAAAUAUUUCUUAACUCAAUUCUAACUUUAUACACUUCCAAAAUUCAUAUUUAUUAUUCUUAAAAUCCAAGUAUCCAAUUUACCGAUAUAUCUCUGCUUACCUACUGAUGUUUUUCUUCUUAAUCAUAUUUAUAUCAAUUACACUUACAAAAUAACUUUAAAAUAUGUAUUUUUGCUUAUUUUAUCAUUUUUUGGAGUUUUCCAAAUAUUCUUAUGAAUUUUGAAUAAUUUUCGCUCCAUCAAUAUUUGUAAAAAAAUAUUCACUGAUAUUUCUUCAAUAUUUCUAAUAUAUCUAUAAAAUCAAAGUAUUGAUAUAUCCAUGAUCACCAUAUUUUCAUCAUCGCUUACAAGCAUAAAAGGAGAGUAUUGAUAUUAUUAUUAAUAUUUUUUGCAUACCUUAAGAUACGAGCUAGUAAGAGAAGUUGACAAAAAGGAAUGCUUUUGACCAACAUGUGAAGCACGUCAACAUAAUAUCAUAUUUGAGAAUAGAGGGGAUGUACAUGUAAUAUUGUCCCACUCAAAUCAACACCCCAAAAAAAGACAAAAAAUUAAAAUAAUAAAUAAAAUAGAUAAAAUAUAUAUUUGAUAAAAUUUCAAAUAAAUAGAAAUUAUGUAUAUUUUGGCUAUGUUUGGUUUUCGAAAAAUGUGAGAGAAAGAAAAUUGGGAGGCAUGAUAAAUGCGAUCUAUUAUAUUAUAUUAUAUUUUUACUUAAAUGAGUCUCUUCAAAUAAAAAAAACAUGUAAAAGAUUAAAUUCACAAAUAUAAAAUUAUUUCAUUCCUUUUAACCAAUUAAUUAAUUAUUUUCCCAUUUUCAUAAAUUAAAAAAAAAAACAAAAAGAAAAUAAGGAUGAGUUUCAUGUUCUAGAGAAUGUAAACUACACAAAAGAAAAUUAACGUUUGCAUUAGAAUUAGCUCGGCUGCAUGUGUGGACCUAUAUUUGCACUAUAUGAUUAUUUUCCUAUUCAAUCUCAAGACUAAAAAUGAAUAUUAUUGUGGAAUAAUAGAUAUUAAAUUAUAUUUUUGGAAAAAGUUAAUUUCACUUGCCUCUCUUAAAGAUUUGGUUAAAUACAUUUGACCCUAAUUGCUUUAAAAUUUUAUUUCUUGUUGUAAGUAAGAAGUGAGAAGAGUAAAAUAAUAAAUAAAAUAGAUAAAAUAUAUAUUUGAUAAAAUUUCAAAUAAAUAGAAAUUAUGUAUAUUUUGGCUAUGUUUGGUUUUUGAAAAAUGUGAGAGAAAGAAAAUUGGGAGGCAAAAUGGAAGGAAAGAAAAAGCUAAGGAAAGGAAUAUAAAUUUUUUUACUUGUUUGUUUUCCAUGGAAAAUUCAAGGGGGAAAAAAAAAAGAAUUCAUUUUCUUUUGUUUGGUUAACCACAAAAAAAAGUUAAGGAAAAAUGGAAGGAAAACAAAAUCAACAAUUUGUCUUAGAUGGUUAUCAAUAUAAACUAGGGUUUCUUAUAAAUUUAUCGUUAUUAGAAGUGUUGAUCCAUUUUUCACUUCAUAUAAUACCUCAUUGACUUCAAGUUUUUAAUUCUCAUGUUGUAUGUGAUAGAAGUUAUAAUGCUACAAUUAAUAAGUAUAUAUAUACAUAAGUUCAAUCUUUAGCUGAGCUAGGUUGGUGAAGCCUCAAUCCAAGCCCAACCCACCUUUGAUUGGGUUGAGAGCUUGGAUUUUUCGGUUCGGGUUGGACUCAACAUAUGCAACACUACUAGUUUGAUGCAGGUUUAGAAAUUUUGAAAAAUUUAGGGGUCAUGUUGUAAUUUUAUGAAAAUAUAGUGAAGAGUGGUACUCAUAUAUGAGAGGAAGAAACCUUAUAUCCCUCUCUCGUUUCUUACACAACCGCCGUAGCCACACAGCAAGUAGCGGAGCUUCGCCCUCGGUACCGGCGCACUGUCCUUCCACCGUAGCAGCCAGUCUCUGCGCUUCUUUUCUUCUCUCUUUCUUAGAUCUGAUGUGUUGGUUUGACGAAUAUUGUAUCUGAAAAGUUUGUCUUCUUUCUUUUCCCCAUAUUAUGUAUAAUAAGAAUGGACAGAGGGAUGGAUAGUUUUCAUAUUGGGUUAGGUAAGGAAGGAGACUAAUGGGAACUUGAUUUGAAGAACGCACUUCAUCCAUGGGAAUUUAGGUGCCUGAAAAUGGUAGGUUUUUAGAGACAUUGGAAGGUGGUCAAAGUGAUAUUGGUGGCCGUUGAAAGGGUCGACGACGGUGAGGAGCCAUAGCGACCGGUGAAGAGGAAGUUAGAGGUGAACAAAAGACUCGGUGAAGACGAUACCACGAGUCGGAUAAAAUUUCCCCCAACUUUUCUCUUAUUUUUUUCUCUUAUUUUCCUCAUUAUUUUUUAAGGAAAAUAGUAGGGAAAAUAUUAUGAUAUUUUCUUUAAUAUUUUCCUUUAUAUUUUUUUUCCAUCAUAUUUUCCAUGUCAUCCAAACUAAAGAAAAUAAUUUUCCACAUGACUUUUGUCCCUUUUCUUAGCAUUUUCUGUCAUGAAAACUUCGAAAUUAAACUUUCUUGAAUAUAGUUUUGCACUAGUUUUAUUUUUCAAAUAUUUUGAGAGCGUGUUUGGUAUGUGGGGAAGAGGAAUGAGAAUGAAUAUUUUGUUUCCAUUCCUAUUCCCUUUUAAAUAUGAAUUGGUAAUUUUAGUUCUUAUGUUUAGAUGCAUAUAAGAAUAUAAGGUGGGAAUGAUAAUUUGCUUCCAUUUUAAUGUUAAGUAAAAAUGAGAAUGAAAAAAAAAAUUAAAUUAUCAUCUAUUCAUAUGGUUUAAAAUAAUUAUUUUAUUUUAUUUUUAUUUAAAAAAAAAUCUCACAUUGUACAUAGUUUGAAAUAUAUUUUUUUAAUUAAAAAAUCCUUGAGAGUUUUGUUUUUCUUUUUUGCUAAAUAAUAGAAACCUAUGUGAGAAUGUGAUUUAAAAAUAAAUUUGUUUUUAAAAAUUUAUACCACUAUUUGAUUGUAGUUCUUUAAAAACAAAUUUUAAAAACAACCUAAAAUAGAGGAUUGUUCUUCCAUUUUUUUUUCAUUACAAAAAAUGAAUUUCAAAUCAAAUAAGAUUUUGUAUUGAAUUUAUUAAUAAUUUUAAUAAUUUUAAAAAAUAAUUUAAAACUGAUUUUUUUUUUCCUUAGAAUGUAAGACGAAAGGGUACAAAAUUCAGUUGAAUAUGGAUGGGGAACCCCAUUGAUCCUUGAUGCUCAAGGAAGAUCAAUAAGAGAACUUAAACCUAAACACAAAUGGGAUAAAGUCGACAAUGAAGGUAGUGAAGCCAAUGACAUGGCUGUAUUUAGUAUUUUUAACGAAGUUUGUCUUUAUGAGUUUUGCAAGAUAGCAAAUUAUAAACAUGUAAAGGAAUUCUUCAAGUCACUUAUGAAGCUACGCCUGCUAUAAAAAUUUAUAAAUUACAAAUGUUUGCCACUAAAGUUUGAGAAUAUUAGAAUGCAUGGAAAUAAGAAAUUUUCUUAUUUUUUAUUAUGAAUUAAGUGACAUAGUUAACUUUUUUUUUUUUUUUUUUUUUUAAUCUUGGAGAACUUAUUCCAAAUUCAAAGGUAGUUAGAAAAAUAUUGGGAUAUCUACCCAAGCGAUUUAAAUCUAAAGUUACUACUAUAGAGGAAAACAAUGACAUUGAUUUCAUGAGAGUUGAUGAACUUGUAGGCACUAUACUGACAUAUGAGAUGACCCUAUCUAGUUCUCAAAAGCCUAAAGACUAUGUCUUUAAGACUUUUGAGAAUGAGGAAAAAAGAUAUUAAAAUGUCAUAUAACAUAACUAGGGAUGAAUUGACACAUAUAGCUAAAAGAACAAAAAUUGUCAUGAAAUUCAAUAAAAGGUUUUACAAAAACUAAGAAUAUGGAAAAAGAAAGAGACCUGAUGAACAAUCAUAAAAAAAGAAAAAAGAAAUAAAGAAAUAAUGGUUCCUCUAAAGGUAAGAAAAUUAAGUGCUUUAACUAUGGAGGUCUAGAACACUUUGCUAAUGAUUGCCCUAGCCCCAAAUAUAUCAAAAAGUUUAUUUACUGACUUAGAGGAGCUUCCACAACUUUUGAAGAUACUAGGUAUGACCCGAAUGACUUUUAGCUUUUAUUGCAUCUGGGAAUCUGUGCAUGAUAGUGAUUGUGAUUGUGAUAGUGAUGAUGAGUUUACUAAUAAACAAAAGGUUGAAUUCUUGAGUAAUCUUGUUACUGAGCAUGAAAAGCUAAUUAAGAAUUAUUAUAAAGAUCAUGAUAUUCUUGAAGCUCACAAAAACAAGAUUGACAUGCUUAAUGUAGACAAGACUAAUUUACUUGAGAAAAAUUAGAUUUCUUGAAUCUAAAAAUCAUUCUCUCCUUGAAAAGAAUAAUGCUUUCACUCAAGAUAUCAAGAGUAAUAACCCUUUCUUCAUCUAUGAAUGGAAAAUUUUGCCUUAGAACUAAAGUGCUUAAUGAAAUACUAAUAAAAGAGGUUUGGGGUACAUUAACAAAAAUGAAAAUCCCUUUAGUGGAGAAAUCGUAUUUGUCAAAGGUAAAGAUGAAACCCCUAAGCAAACAGUAUUUCCUAAAAAGCCAUUACUAUGCAUACACUGUCAGAAAAUUGGACACACUCAGUUUAGAUGCUACACUAGGUUCUUAGAAAGGUUUGAAUCUCAAAGGAGUAGGCUUAUGAAUGACUUCAAUUCCCUUAAAAAUAACAUCUUGAAUACUGCGAAAAGGAAUAAAACUAAUAAGAAGCCUAAAAGUCAACUUAGUUCCACUAAGUCUCCACCCAAGACUAAACAAGCUUAGUUGAGAAAUGGUAGAACUAAAUAUCAAGUUGUGUUCAAUGCUCUUAAAGCUAAAUCUUCCAAUGAGUGGUACUCUUAUUUUAAGAGGAAUACUAAAAUUAAAAAAUGGCCAUUAUUGAUAGAAAAAAAUUAUUAUUUUUAAAAUUAGUCACUAUUGUCAGAACUAAAAACUGAAAUAGCCUUGAAAUGGGAGAAAAGAUAAAGCCUUAAAACAAUACUUCUCUUUUCGAAGCCCCAUCCCAACGGUGUCACUUCUCUAUGUCUAGUUUUUGCUUCCUAUUCUUUGAAUCUCCAUUUGGAGUUUGUGUGAUGAAUUCUUUAAUGUUAUAUUUGAUUCAUGAAAGAUUUGAUUUGAGGGAAAAUGUGAGGGAAAGAAAAAAGAGAGGAAAAAU
rnacentral:lncRNA from 1 species